rnacentral:misc_RNA from 1 species
GACGGAGGGCGCGAGCAUUGUUCGGAAUCACUGGGCGUAAAGCGCGCGCAGGCGGGACCUGCAAGUCGGAAGUGAAAUCCCGGGGCUCAACUCCGGGACUGCUUCCGAAACUGCGGACCUGGAGAACGGUAGAGUUGGGUGGAAUUCCCGGUGUAGCGGGGGAAUGCGUAGAGAUCGGGAAGAACACCUGUGGCGAAGGCGGCCCACUGGGCCGGAUCUGACGCUGAGGCGCGAAAGCGUGGGGAGCAAACAGG